GACGAACGCUGGCGGCGUGCCUAGUACAUGCAAGUAGAACGCUGAAGGAGGAGCUUGCUCUUCUGGAUGAGUUGCGAACGGGUGAGUAACGCGUAGGUAACCUGCCUGGUAGCGGGGGAUAACUAUUGGAAACGAUAGCUAAUACCGCAUAAGAGUAGAUGUUGCAUGACAUUUACUUAAAAGGUGCAAUUGCAUCACUACCAGAUGGACCUGCGUUGUAUUAGCUAGUUGGUGGGGUAACGGCUCACCAAGGCGACGAUACAUAGCCGACCUGAGAGGGUGAUCGGCCACACUGGGACUGAGACACGGCCCAGACUCCUACGGGAGGCAGCAGUAGGGAAUCUUCGGCAAUGGACGGAAGUCUGACCGAGCAACGCCGCGUGAGUGAAGAAGGUUUUCGGAUCGUAAAGCUCUGUUGUAAGAGAAGAACGAGUGUGAGAGUGGAAAGUUCACACUGUGACG
rnacentral:rRNA from 1 species